rnacentral:rRNA from 1 species
GUGUCAGCAGCCGCGGUAAUACGGAGGGUGCAAGCGUUGUUCGGAAUUACUGGGCGUAAAGGGCGCGUAGGCGGUCUUUUAAGUCAGAUGUGAAAGUCCUCGGCUCAACCGGGGAAGUGCAUUUGAUACUGAGGGACUUGAGUACUGGAGGGGAUGGUGGAAUUCCCGGUGUAGAGGUGAAAUUCGUAGAUAUCGGGAGGAAUACCGGUGGCGAAGGCGACCAUCUGGCCAGAUACUGACGCUGAGGCGCGAAAGCGUGGGGAGCAAACAGGAUUAGAAACCCCCGUAGUCC